UACGAAGGGGGCUAGCGUUGCUCGGAAUCACUGGGCGUAAAGCGCACGUAGGCGGCUUUCUAAGUCAGGGGUGAAAUCCUGGAGCUCAACUCCAGAACUGCCUUUGAUACUGAAGAUCUUGAGUUCGGGAGAGGUGAGUGGAACUGCGAGUGUAGAGGUGAAAUUCGUAGAUAUUCGCAAGAACACCAGUGGCGAAGGCGGCUCACUGGCC
rnacentral:rRNA from 1 species